rnacentral:misc_RNA from 1 species
AUACUUUUUACAAUAUAACGUUGCAUCCAAUCAUAAACAGCAUUUAAAAAUGACAGUUCACAGUGACAAUGAAAGAUCGGAAUCUUGCGAUUCCUUCAUUAAUGAUCCUUCCGCAGGUUCACCUACGGAAA